UCGGUAGAGGCAUUCUCAAUCCUUGCUUCAGCAUUCGACUGACUUUCAACAUUUAACCAUCUCGAAUCAGUCAAAGGUUGCAUUUGAGAACACCCAACACUUUUGAUGGCAUGUCUGAUAGCCCCUUCAUGGUAAACACCUUUUGUAUAUGAUGCAUCACGAGUCUUGAAACAUGGAGGUUUUACAAGCUUCGCGUAACAAGUAGAGACAAGGC
rnacentral:lncRNA from 1 species